UCGCAGUUCUUCGAAACGCUUGAUACUUGUCAUCUUUUCUUGAUAACAAGGUUGUCUUAUCAAAAUAUUCCAGGGUGUAGGAUGGAAACUCGUAUAUACAUAACUACCUACGUCGUCUGUGGGUGAGCUGGAAUGGAUGCACUGGACGGCUAAGCGCAGAUUCUGUGGGAGCGUGAGAGCUGGCAGAAAGGUCAAGAUGGAUCCAGCUUCAGGUAAAAAAUAUAACUUCUUGUUCACUAGUGUUUUGCAGCAGGUUAAUAUUUUUGUGUGGCGGUUUAGAGCCUCUUUAUGGUUUAGCUGUUAGAGCCAUUGGAUUUCUGCUUUGUCUGUGGCAUGGAAAAGUCGUCAUUUUAUUUAUUGUUCCGUGGUGCUGUCUUCAACGUACUAAAAGGUACUGCGGUGGUUUUAGGAUGUAAACUUUACAAAGCUUUAGGAGCUCUGCAUCAGAGUGAAUUGUGUUUUAGCUCUGUUUUAAAUUCUUUACAGGUGGGAACAAAGGUGGCCCCUGGGCUGAGGCUUCACAAAGGAAGGUCUGAUCUGGAGCUUGGUUUAAAGGCACAGCAUCGCAGCAUAAUUUCAGGAAUGCGAAACACGUAAAGGUAAUUUUAAUGAGGGGGAUUUGAAACAUGAAUGUCGUUAUGUGUAUUUGUGCUCACAGAGUGGCAGGGAUUCUUUGAAGAGAAGAAUCUUUCUUAUCCCACCUGGAUAGACACAAUUAGUGACAUUCAGGGGUACUUCUCAUCAGUGUAAUGUCUCUCAUUUCUUUUUCCCUUGUCUUAAAGCCAAAGACUUUUCUCAUUAGUUACUGACUGUUCUCAUGCUGCUGAGUCUACGUGCCAAAUUCUUCUGCUCUCAAAACUAUCGGGGAGCUUUCCUGUUGAUUUUUAUGGGAGCGCUGUCAAGGGAGACAAAGGGGAAUCCUAAUAGGUUCUCAGUGUGGAAAGACUUGGAUGAAUUUAGUUUUAAAAUUUGCAAGGUGGGACCUUUCCUAAAGAUGCUUAUUUAUUAUUAGCGAAGAGCAUCUUUUUCACCGAGUGACAAGUUAUGAAAAAUGUCACUCAGUUUUGAUAUGGCACACUGUUCCAGUGCUAGGAUUUUAGUGAUGAUGUAGGAGCAAUAGUCAUACGUUGUUUUCUGAUUUCAUGAUUUUUCAAACUUAAUAGUGGGAUUUCCAUGGUUUUCAAAAUUGCGUGAUAUGCUGAGAAUUUUGUGACAUUUUAUUAUAGUUGUUAGCGGUGAUCUGCUCUGUCCAGGGUUUUAGAAUAGCUCUGCGGAGAGAAACUUCGCUGCUUCUGAGAUGCAAGUAAUUUUUAAUAAUGCAGUGUGCAUUCUUGCAGUUGGAGGUACUCUUCCAAAGUUGUGUUUUCUUAGUUAUGUUGUACUCUACAAAAAUACUUAGUCUAACAAUAAAAGAAUAUACGGUAUACCUGUAGAGCCA
rnacentral:lncRNA from 1 species